AUUAAACGCUGGCGGCAUGCCUUACACAUGCAAGUCGAACGGCAGCACGGGGGCAACCCUGGUGGCGAGUGGCGGACGGGUGAGUAAUACAUCGGAACGUGCCCUGGAGUGGGGGAUAACGUAGCGAAAGUUACGCUAAUACCGCAUAUUCUGUGAGCAGGAAAGCAGGGGAUCGCAAGACCUUGCGCUCUGGGAGCGGCCGAUGUCGGAUUAGCUAGUUGGUGGGGUAAAGGCCUACCAAGGCGACGAUCCGUAGCGGGUCUGAGAGGAUGAUCCGCCACACUGGGACUGAGACACGGCCCAGGCUCCUACGGGAGGCAGCAGUAAGGAAUAUUGGACAAUGGACGAAAGUCUGAUCCAGCCAUGCCGCGUGCAGGAUGAAGGCGCUCAGCGUUGUAAACUGCUUUUGGAUGGGAAUAAUAACCUCGACGUGUCGGGGCUUGAAGGUACCAUCAGAAUAAGCACCGGCUAACUCCGUGCCAG
rnacentral:rRNA from 1 species